rnacentral:rRNA from 1 species
GACGAACGCUGGCGGCGUGCUUAACACAUGCAAGUCGAACGGUAAGGCCCUUCGGGGUACACGAGUGGCGAACGGGUGAGUAACACGUGGGUGAUCUGCCCUGCACUUCGGGAUAAGCCUGGGAAACUGGGUCUAAUACCGGAUAGGACCACUGCCCGCAUGGGUGGUGGUGGAAAGCUUUUGCGGUGUGGGAUGGGCGCGGGGCCUAUCAGCUUGUUGGUGGGGUGAUGGCCUACCACGGCGACGAGGAGUAGACAGCCUGAGAGGGUGACCCGCCACACUGGGACUGAGGUACGGCCCAGACUCAUACGGGAGGCAGCAGGGGGGAAUAUUGCCCAAUGGGCGCAAGCCUGAUGCAGCGACGCCGCGUGAGGGAUGACGGCCUUCGGGUUGUAAACCUCUUUCAGCACCGACGAAGCGCAAGUGACGGUAGGUGCAGAAGAAGGACCGGCCAACUACGUGCCAGCCGCCGCGGUAA